rnacentral:lncRNA from 1 species
AUGUCACCAUCAUUCCCAUUCCCAAGUGUCAGCACUGUCCCCAUCCCGUCCCCAAAUGUCACCAUGCCCCUCAGUCCCCAAAGUGUCACUUCAUUCCCAACCCCAUGCCCUAGUUUCACCAUGUCCCCCUGUCCCCAGGUGUCACCAUGUCCCUGUCCCCAUGCUCAGUACCCAUUUGGCAUCCCUUUGUCCCUGUCCCCACACCCAAAUGUCACCAUCAUCCCCUUGUCCCCAAGCUCAACUGUCACCACUGCCCCCAUCCCAACUGCCACCAUCAUUCCCAUUGCCCCCAUCCCCAAGUAUCACCAUGUCCCCCUGUCCCCAAGUGCCACUAUCACCCCAUGUCACCAUCAUUCCCAUCCCCAAGUGUCACCACUGUUCCCAUCCAAAUGUCACCACAUCCCCCUGUCCCCAAACGCCACCAUCACCCCCCCUGUUGUCCCCCAUCCUCACCUUUUCCCCCCCACAAUGGGGACUGGCUCGGUGCCCACCUUCCAGCUGCCCCCAUCCCCUGGGGGGGUUCCAGGUCCGGGUCCCCCCAGGGAUGGUGUGAGUGAGGGGGGUCUCAGGAAGGAUGCACUGCCACGGCCACUGCUUUGGCUGGUCAGGCUGCCCCGAGGCAGUUUCUCAGGGGGGGGCACCUCCCUACUUUCAGUCUUAUCAAUAGAAGGGCCACGGCGGGUCGGUUCCGGGGGGGUCGACCAUACGGGGGGGCCAGGCAGCGAGGCUUUAAUGGGGCCCAGUGGCACCUUGGGGGGCUGUAGGAGGGUGGGGGCCGAGGGGAGCUUGGCACAUGGAUCUGUGCAGUCCUGCCCCCCCUCGGGCUGCUGCUGGGGGGGUGUGGGGGGCUGCUGUGGUUCCUCGGUGGGGGGCCAGUCGCCAUCCACGCACAUCUCCUUGAAGAAGGGCAGGCUGAGGUACUGCAGGAUGCUGCUUUGGGGUGGGGGGGACGCAGUCCGCUGCGGGGUGUUGGAGUCCGGGGGGGCGCCCUGGGGGGGCAGUGAGUCCCAACGGGUACUGGGGGGGUCAGGGCUGUAA